rnacentral:rRNA from 1 species
UGUUUCGGCAAGGGGGUCAUCCCGACUUACCAACCCGAUGCAAACUGCGAAUACCGGAGAAUGUUAUCACGGGAGACACACGGCGGGUGCUAACGUCCGUCGUGAAGAGGGAAACAACCCAGACCGCCAGCUAAGGUCCCAAAGUCAUGGUUAAGUGGGAAACGAUGUGGGAAGGCCCAGACAGCCAGGAUGUUGGCUUAGAAGCAGCCAUCAUUUAAAGAAAGCGUAAUAGCUCACUGGUCGAGUCGGCCUGCGCGGAAGAUGUAACGGGGCUAAACCAUGCACCGAAGCUGCGGCAGCGACGCUUAUGCGUUGUUGGGUAGGGGAGCGUUCUGUAAGCCUGUGAAGGUGUGCUGUGAGGCAUGCUGGAGGUAUCAGAAGUGCGAAUGCUGACAUAAGUAACGAUAAAGCGGGUGAAAAGCCCGCUCGCCGGAAGACCAAGGGUUCCUGUCCAACGUUAAUCGGGGCAGGGUGAGUCGACCCCUAAGGCGAGGCCGAAAGGCGUAGUCGAUGGGAAACAGGUUAAUAUUCCUGUACUUGGUGUUACUGCGAAGGGGGGACGGAGAAGGCUAUGUUGGCCGGGCGACGGUUGUCCCGGUUUAAGCGUGUAGGCUGGUUUUCCAGGCAAAUCCGGAAAAUCAAGGCUGAGGCGUGAUGACGAGGCACUACGGUGCUGAAGCAACAAAUGCCCUGCUUCCAGGAAAAGCCUCUAAGCAUCAGGUAACAUCAAAUCGUACCCCAAACCGACACAGGUGGUCAGGUAGAGAAUACCAAGGCGCUUGAGAGAACUCGGGUGAAGGAACUAGGCAAAAUGGUGCCGUAACUUCGGGAGAAGGCACGCUGAUAUGUAGGUGAAGUCCCUCGCGGAUGGAGCUGAAAUCAGUCGAAGAUACCAGCUGGCUGCAACUGUUUAUUAAAAACACAGCACUGUGCAAACACGAAAGUGGACGUAUACGGUGUGACGCCUGCCCGGUGCCGGAAGGUUAAUUGAUGGGGUCAGCGCAAGCGAAGCUCUUGAUCGAAGCCCCGGUAAACGGCGGCCGUAACUAUAACGGUCCUAAGGUAGCGAAAUUCCUUGUCGGGUAAGUUCCGAC